GUAAAUUUCGUAAUAUUCUGAGUAAAUAGAUUUUUUUUAAAUGUUGGUGAAAGUAAGGGACGAGGAAACGGAAGUGGUGAAUAACACCAGUUUAGUGUUAUUUGUGACAGUUAUUGAUGUAAGACGAAAUAAUAAUAUAACAACAAAAAAGAACUAAUCGAAUACCUACCUAUUUCGGUUACUGAAAUACGUAGUAUUAUGUACUUGCCUUUAUGUACCAAUAUAUGUAUAUAAAAGUGUUUGCCAUUACUUGUAGGUGUGCAUAAUAUUUACCGGGUUGGUUGCCAAAAAACAGUGUUCUAUACCAGUGGUUCUGUGCUAUUUCGCUUGUGCUUUUUAAAUAUGCAGUGUGUGUUUGCCUUUGUCGUGUGUCAUUAGUUUUGCCGUAUGUACAUACACAAAUACAUGUUUUAGUCAAUAUUGGUAUGCUUCACUGUUUCCACUUAUUUUGCUGUCCAUUGAAAUCAAACAGCAGCGACAGGUAACAAAUAUUGCCGGUAGAAAAGUGUAGGACAGCAAUAUUUAUGUAGCGGCGUCUGCAGUAAGCAUAGUGCCAAUUUCUAAGAAAAUAUUAACAGAACAAUCGUGUGAAUGCAGUUUAAUUGGAUAAGUGCUGACUUCGAAAAAAGCAACAAGGGGAAAAAAAUAAAUAAAAGCAAAAACAAAAAUAGUGCGUAACUAAAUUGGAAAAAGAAG